CCUUGGAUUCUAUAAACAAAUAAUAGUGAUCUCGCAAUUCGUUCCCGUCCUUAAAUUGCGGGAUUCGCCGGCGGCGAAGGAGCAAGUAGUGGUGGCGGGAAAUCGCCGGAGCAGUAAUCGACGGGGCUACGAUAUAAGUUCAAUCUUCUCAACCGCCUAACGAUUUUGUAGCCUGCUCUGGCAUUUCUGCUCGCAGUGAAUUGCUGGAAUGGAGGCUGUUGCAACGGCGGAGGCACGGCGACCGUUAAGGCUGCGAUGCUCGGUGAAGAACUACGACUGGGGGAUGAUCGGCCAGGAAUCGAUGGUGGGGAGGCUCUUUGCUCUGAACUCCAAGCAGGAUAUCGAGGCCGGCAAGCCGUACGCGGAGCUUUGGAUGGGGACGCAUGAGUCUGGCCCUUCGUUCGUGGACCUUGGCCAGCCGGAGGGGGAGCGACUGACCCUCAAGUCGUUGGUGGAGGAGAAUCCUAGUGUUCUUGGUGAGAAGGUUGUGAAGAGGUGGGGGAUGGACCUCCCUUUCUUGUUUAAGGCUCUUUCUGUGGGGAAGGCAUUAUCGAUACAGGCGCAUCCGGAUAAGGAGUUGGCGGGGUUCCUUCACAAGACGCACCCGGAGCUCUAUAAGGACCCAAACCAUAAGCCGGAAAUGGCGAUUGCGCUAUCUGAAUUCAAGGCGCUAUGUGGGUUUGUAAGCGUGAAGGAGCUGAAGGAUGUGCUUACUCAUGUGCCUGAGAUUUUGGAGCUGGUUGGUGAGGAGAGUGCUAUAAAGUUUAUGAAAAUACAAGUUGUAGAUGGAAACGAGGUAGUUAAAGCUCUCUUGCAAUCUAUGUUUACUACACUUAUGACAGCAAGCAAAGAAGCUAUUUCUGAAGCAUUAAAGAAACUCUUGAGUCGUUUAGGCGAAGAGCAAAAGGUUCGGGUACUUACAGUAAAAGAAGAAUUAGUGUUACUUUUAGAGAAGCAAUACCCUGCUGAUGUCGGUGUUAUAGCAGCCUUUUUCUUUAAUUAUGUGAAGCUCAGCCCCGGGGAAGCAUUAUGUAUUAAUGCAAAUGAGCCACAUGCUUACGUUUCUGGUGAGUGUAUUGAGUGCAUGGCGACGUCAGAUAAUGUCGUUAGAGCUGGAUUGACUGCUAAGUACAGAGAUGUUCAAACCCUUUGUUCUAUGUUAACUUACAAACAGGGCCUUCCUGAAAUCUUGAAUGGGGAUUCAUUGAACCCAUACAUAAAACGUUACGCUCCUCCAUUUGAUGAAUUUGAAGUUGACUACUAUCUGAUUCCAUCAGGCGAAUCCGUUGUGAGCGCUGAAAUCUCAGGCCCUUCAAUAUUGCUUAUUAUUUCUGGGGAUGGUAGGCUACAAAUGGGUGUGGCUUCUGUAACUCAAGAUGUUUCUGAGGGAAAUGUGUUUUUUGUGCCUUCUCAAAUUGAGAUUUCCUUUAGUGCCGGUGUUACCAGGCCAUUACAAAUUUAUAGAGCUGGUGUGAAUAGCCAGUUCUUCGAUCAGUAGCAGUUUCACACUUGGCAUAAUUAAGGGCAUAACGAUCUUCAAACAAUGUUGCCAGUUCUCAAGAUUACAAGAAAGAGAAAAACUCAAUUAGUUCAUGUUGCCUGGAGAUCUAUGUGAGUUUACAUUUUUCAACUCUACCAGUUGAUAUUGCUUCCAAUCCGGGAACCACGGUUACAAGGUAAUUUUUGCAGAAUACGCAGUGCCUUUACGUAUGGUGCUUCAAAGCUUGUGUAGUUUCUUGUACUUCCUACUGAAAAUGUUGCUGAUGAAGUGGAUUGGCCGGAGUCUAUGAUGCGAGCCCCCAAAUAACCUCAUGUGUCUAAUCAUUCGAUCCCGUACUGCAAGACAGAUGCACUUAGGCGGGCUCGAACAUUUGACCCCAAGGGACUCACGACUGACAACGCAGCUGCCAAGCAAAGAGUCGCGGCGUGCAGCACAGGUGGCAGAAAUAUAAAUGCAUAAGUAUUGUGUUGCGAGGCCUGUGAAGGAGGAGCAGCAGAAACUCUCGCCGGCAGAGAAAUCCCGGCCGUCGGACGGCAAACAGAGCUUAGAGGAAAAGUACGGACCACUUUUACUUAACCUUCUCCCGAGAGGAAGAAUACCGCCUUCAGGACCCAGUGGAGGAACCAAUAGUAUUCAGAACUGAGUCCUCCCUUUAUUCAGUAUUUACAAAUCA